GAGACCAACGGCUCUGCAACCCCGCCCCGACUUAGAGGCGCGGCCCGCCCUUCGGAACCCUCUUACCCCGAGGCCCCCGAAGUCUGGGGGCGGCGUCAGGUCCGGGCUGGGCGGAGACGUCCGACGCUAAGGAAGCUGAUUACCUACUCGAGGUUAAGCCAGCCGCCAUGUUGUGAGGAUCCUCCAGCAGCCCUAUGGAAAGGUCUAUGUGGGGAAGAACUGAGGCCUCCUGCCAACAAUGACUUGCCAGGCACCGGAGUGAGCCUCCUUGCAAAUGGAUCACUUAGCCCAAGUCAAGCCUCCACAUGACUGCAGCCUGAUUGACCCUUGACCUCUUGAGACACCGAAUGAGAAUUACCCAGCUCCCAAAUUCCCGAUUCACAGCACCUGUGAUGCAAUAAAUGUUUUGGGCUAAUUAUACUGA